GUGAAUCAUCGAAUCUUUGAACGCAAAUUGCACUCUCUUCGGAGAGUAUGCCUGUUUGAGGGUCAGCCUAAAAAAAAUCGACAUAGUCGCUGUUUCGCGGUGACAUGCGUCGGAAAUGGGGUCAUCUUAAAACAUUGGGGUUUAAGCGGCUUAAAAUUUUCUUUACGAUUCGACGAACGUUCCUAAGCUUUACUUCUUAUACGUUUAAGGUAUCGAUCUUUAUUGGACGUG
rnacentral:misc_RNA from 1 species